CCCGAUCUAUCCGCCUGUCUCGCUCGUUUGCCUUUUUUCCUCUUCCCACGGGUUGCUUUUUCCCCCGCGAGCGUCUCUUUCUUCGGCGUGCUGCAAGCUUUUAGGGGGAAUCCUCGCCCUGCACCCGCGCCGCUGCUUUUAUGUGACGCCGCCGGUAACACAGAGAGUGCGUGCAUCGAACGGACAGAGAAAGGACGUCGGGAUCGGCACGAAUGGAAGAGCAAGAUCGAGAGGGAUAUGUGAUGUGUAUACGUGUGUAUACGACAGUAUGUACGCGUAUACGUGUGUAUAUAUAUCCGUGUAUCGAGAUCGGAAUUCGACGUAAAAAUUUCCGUUUGCUACAUCGUCGAGUACGUAAAAACGAAGGAAAUGGAAAAAGAAUUUAGUUAUCGAUAUGUUGAAC
rnacentral:misc_RNA from 1 species